AUCCGGCUGAUGAGUCCCAAAUAGGACGAAACGCUCGUCCUGGAU
rnacentral:hammerhead_ribozyme from 1 species